GUUGAGGCUGGCCAGGAGCAUGGCGAUGAUGAAAGGCGAGGCUGGAGGCGGAGGGGGAAGAAAGGAGAACACGGCAUCACUGUCGGGGCAGGAAGCCUCACCUCCUGAGAAGAGGGACCAGGUGCUGUGUCACAAGGCAGAGGACCGCAGAGACCAAGCCUGCCUUCCUCCCACUGCAAAGACCAAGCCUGCCUUCCUCCCACAUCGGUGCUCUGAGCACAUGCACAGCCCAGCCCUGGAACGUUCCUUGUCCUUUCUCCCAUCCAAAGCUUCCCUACCACAUGCUUCCAUCCGCAUGGCCACCUGUUCAUUCCUUACUGACCUCGCAAGUAUCAACUGCCUCCCACUCAAGAGUAUCCAAGCACACAGAGGUAGAAGCUACCAGACCCAGCUUGUAGCCCUGCCAGCCACAAAUACUUUAACUCCCCAAGAAACUGCUGUUUUCUCAUCUCUGAAUGAUGAUAACAAGAGUCCCCAAAUCUCACAGGAGCACAGCAAGGGUGGAAGAGCACCUAAUACUACAAGUGGCCGAUGCACGGCAGCUGCGAUCAUGACCACGUGCCAGGGGGUCAUCUGGGCUUGUCCAGGUCCAUGCUGUUCUGAAUGAGUGACCCAGCAGGGGAGGAGAAGUCUCCAGACUUAUUCCAGCUGACUUACGAAGAUGCUCUUAGCCCAGGAACAUCUGAUCUUGCAUGCAGAUCUCAGAGCAUUACUGGACUUGCCACCACUCGAUGAAAAUUGCAGUCCCUCUGUGAAAAUGCAUUCCUGAGCUCAACAAUCCUCACUCCCUCAGCUGUAUGGAUGGAAUGGACGGAUUCCAUGACCUGACACGUCUUGAGACCUUCCUCUUGGUAAAGCACGGGCAGCACACUUCCUGCAUGCCACGCUGUAUGCCACCAGCGCCUUCUCCCCUCCCCACAACCUAAAGCCUAAUCUUAACCCCAGCAAACAGCCCCAGGCAGGUUUAGUCAACCAUCCAGGGUGACUGCUGCACAUUUUACAGAUGGGGAAACACUUACAACCAGGCCUCCUGUGGAUUUCAACCUUUCCCCCUGGCAAAACACCCUGGCAGAUUUUUGAUUACCCCGAGUGGUGGGGGGCGCACUUCCUCACUGAGUAGCCAAUUCUAUGGCCAGAGGUCUGCAUAGAGUCUUCUUUCAGUUCAACUCUACACACCCAUCCCUGCCCCAUCUUAUGCACCUUCCUCCUCCCAUAACCCACGUUUGUUCAACCAGCACUGGUUGCACCCCAGUGGGCGGCCAGCCUUGUGCUAGGCAAUGGGCACACGCCAGAGGACAGGACAGGUGGCAUCCCCUGUGACAAGGCUCACAGUCCACCGCUCUGGCUUUUAACAAGCUUCUCCACACACCAGCCCUCCUGGACACACUACCUACUGUCCAGCAGACUCUGCCAACACCCCACCCCCUCCACCCAGGCUCUUGGGAGAGAAAUGUCUAUUUCCUCUGACUGGAAUAAAUGUCUUAUUUCCUCUGACUGCCGAGAUUCUCAAAGCCAAUCCCAAGAAUGAAAACAAAACUUUUAACAACCAGAACGGGGGGAAGGCGGAAUGACAUUGAUCAUGUGGUCCCCAGGUGCCACGGGUCACACCAUGUCAUCUUCAUUAUAACAGAGGAGGAAGCUGAGGCUCAGAAAGGGGAAAUCAUCAGCUCAAGGACACACAAGAGAAAGUGGAAGGGUGGGCUCCAAACACAGGCCAACACCUGCUCCAACACCUGCUGUUAGCCUGCACAGAGACCUGGGGACCUACAGGCCUGCCUGCUGUCUUGACCAACUGGAUACAUCCAUCUGUCUUCAUCUCCCCCCAGAGAAGCAGCUCGGGGUCAGAGUCCCUGUUACCAGCAGCCAAGCAAGUUCCACGGAGUUCAAGGGGAAAGGUUGGUGCCAAAUCUUUUGGCUGUGCAAUUUGAUCUUGACAGUUCCAUCCGGGGCUUGUCCAAACCUGCCAGGGCUGUCUGGUCCCAGCCCUCCUUCUGCAGACUUACUAGACUCACCAAAGCAGGGUCUCAAUAGCAUGUGGCUACUGGGGCGGGGGCGCUCAUUAAAUUAUCACAACCCUCCUCUUGAUUUUUUCUCCUCUAUUUUCUGCUCUGAACAAUGAAAAUGCUGAGAGUUUUCCUCUUUGCUUUGGCUCUUAUGAAAAGGAAGCCUCUUGUGCAGCCCCCUCCCCCCAACACACAAAGAAGCUUUAUUAUUGCUGUUAUUAUACUUCUAUCCUCCCCCUCGCUUUCUUCCCAUUUUCCCGUAUCUAUUUUAUCAUGCCUGGGACCUGAAUCUUUGAGCCCCCUCCCCAAGUUAUUUUUGGAACAAGGUGAGCUCUAAACCAAUAAAGGCAGAGCUUGGUGUGAGUGAAGGUGUAGGCGGGGAGAGAUAGAAAAGGAGCAGCUGGGUUUACAGGGACGGGCAGGGGGAGCGAGACCUAAAGAAAGAGUUCUGUGGGGGCCACAAGGCCAGCUGCAAGCCACAUGUGAUUUCCCCAGCUGCUCAGUUAGUCUCUGACCUGUGAGCAAAGCAAAGUUAGAGAGCCGAAUGAUGAUUUCAGCUUCCACGGGUUGGCUGCCGUGUUGGAGACUGCUGGAAGCAGUACUGAUUCUAUCCAGAAAUGGGAUGUUUGCUUUCUCACGGACAAAACAGCUGAAAGAAAGCCUCCAGUCUUUUCUUAACAAGCAAUUGAGCCGCCGGCAUUCCAGUGCAUUGAGAUUACCUUCCAACCAAAAGGUGUAAGUCAUUCACCACCACAGAUCACCCCUCCUGCUGUUUGCAAAUGAGCUACCGGAACUGUCUGUGAUGAAGGCUGAAGGCGCAAAGCAUCGGCCAGAAGCCAGCGCCCCAGAUGCUCUGCUCCCCUGGAUCCCUCCUCAUAGCAUCCCACCCCACCUUCGCCUCCCGGUUUCACCAGCCACCCUCAGUUCUGACACUGUCUGUCCUCCACUGGAGAGCGCGCGUUUCCCGCCUACCAAAAUCAACCGGGCUCCCGAGACGAAUAGGAAAGUUUGCGUCCCGUUCGCUCCCUUCCCUGCUUGCCUCAUCCCUCAGCAGAAGCACUGUCUGGGUUCACUGACAGCGCCGCCGCCGCAAUACUUACCUCUCCACCUCGCGGCUGGAGAGAGGGCGAGGGGCGCAACUCGCCUCCUCCACUCGGCAAGGGAUUCCCAGUCUCCGCCCACUGACGGCGCCCCGCCCCACACCUUCUCAGGCUCGGUUGGAAGAAUCCAAGCACCCAUCUCCCGCUGCUCUGAUCCAAACCAGGUCUCCCGGGUUCACGCUGACUUGAACUUAAAGUGGAAGUUCAAGGGAAGUGAACUUAACGUGGCAGGAGAUUGGGCUUGGGUCGGAAAGUCACCUCCCCGCAUUGCUCACCAGGUGGAAAAGGCAAGUCAUUGGAAGCUCAAUUUUCUGGUCCGUAACAGUGAUUCAAACACCCCAUGUGGCCUAAAGACUGUGGUAGGGAUUUUACGUGCAUUUUCUCAUUUCAUUCCCCUACUGUUGAAGAGGAGGCUUCCCUGGUGGCUCAGUGAUAAAGAAUCCACCUGCUAAUACAGAAGGCUCCGGUUGGAUCCCUGAGUUGGGAAGAUCCUCUAGAAAAGGAAAUGGCAACCCACUCCAGUAUUCUUACCUGGGAAAUCCCUUGGGCAGAGGAGCCCGGCGGGCUACAAUCCACGGGGUCGCAAAAGAGUCGGAUAGCAACUAAAUAACUGGUUAGCAACUAAAUAACUACUGCAGGGGAAAACCGGCUUAUCAUCUUAGCUAUUUUACAGAAAGGGAAGUCAAGGCUCAGGGAGAUUAUGCCCCAAGUCACUUGGCCAGCAGACGAUGGGGCCAAGGCUCAGAACAAUCCACGAAGCCCGCCAAACCCUGGACAGGGACAGCAGGACCAGGGCCACGCCCGCCGCGCUCCCUCCUCCCGGUGCUUCCGCCCGCGCUACCUUCCUUGGGCGCAUCGGCAUCCCAGACACUCCACAUCUGCACGAAAAAGAAUGGCGUCCAGCACACGAUGAAGGCCAGCACGACGAUGAAGGUCAUCUUGACCGUGCGGAUCUUGGCCUUAGAGAUGAGCUUGAAGUUGCUGACGCGGGCCAGAGCCGCGCGCCCCGCCCAGUCUGCCGCCGCGCCCUCAGCCCCCGCGGCAGCCUCUGCCGCCGCCGCCGCCGUCUUGAGCCGUAAAUUCUGCCAGAUCUUGAAGCUGAUAAGGCCAUAGCAGGUGGCAAGCACGAUGACGGGCACAAUGUAGACGGCGAGCGUGAUCCACGUGAUGUAGGCUUUGGGCCCCCAGGGUUGAAUGAAAACGGCCCAGCAGUCGAAGACACCGUCGGCCACCUCGCGCAGCGAGAAGAUGUGCACCUGAGGCGCGCUGGCCACCAGGCAGCCGAGCCAUGUGACGAGUACCGCCAGGCGGUCGGUGCGGCGGCUCAGCGAGCGCAGCGGCUGGCAGAUGGCCAGGCAGCGGUCGAGCGACAUGAGCAGCAGCAGGUAGGUGGACGCGAACAUGCCCACCACCUGCAGGUACUUGACGAGGCGGCACAGCAGGUCGGGCCCGUAGAAGCGGAACGUGAUGUCCCACAGAAGCUGCGGCAGCACCUGGAACACCGCCACCACCAGGUCGGCUAUGCUCAGGUGCUUCAUGAAGAAGAACAGGCGCGAGUGCUUGUGGCGCGUGGUGCGCAGCGCCAGCAGCACGCACGCGUUGCCGCUCAGCGCCAGGAACAGGAUGAGGCACAGCACGGCCACCUCCACCCGCGCCAGGGCCUCGUUGCGCUGUGGCGGCCCGGCAGUGCGAUUGCCCUCGGUUCCCGGCGGCGCCGCGCUCCCGUUGACCUCCUCAGCGCUCCAGUUUGCCGCAAACGCACCCUCCAUGACCGUGGCCGCCGCGGUGCGCCCCGGCCUUCGAGUCCUUUAAGGCGCGGCGCGGGGGCGGGGCCCGACUUGCAGUCCCGGCGUGCCUGGAGGCGGGGUGGGGGCUCCUGGGUUCCCCUCCCUGAGACUCCGAGGACCGAUCUGCUGGGUCGGACUCUGAAACAAACCCCGAGGGCCGUGAGAAGACCGUGCGUUUCUCCCGACGCGUGUAUGCCUCAGCUGUCCCCUUUCCAGGAACCCCAAAUCAUCUAGGACUAGGGCCACCACCACCUGGGGUUGCUGAGCGGCCGUCCUAGAAAUUCCCGUUUGAGAAACUUCUUUUGAGACGCUGGAAAUGAGCGGGAAUCUACCGGACCCGCAGUUCCUUGAGAUAGUCGCUUCCACUGAAGGAGAGGGAGGAACAUAACCAGUUUCCUCCCGGACUGGGACUUCUAAGCCAGCCACCUCGCCUAGGGAUCCUCCAACUAGUUACUCCCCAGAACCCACAGGACAGCCACCUCUCCUAGUAAACCCCAGUCCGGAUGCUCCCUCUGAAGACACCCCCCACCGCCCCCAAACAGCCACUUGCCUGGGAAACCCUGCUCAAGACCAUCCCCCUCCAACCCCGUUUCUAAAAUGCUUAGCCAUCCACCCCUGAACUUCCACAACAACCGCUUCUUUGCCUCCAUCCUGGAGGCACUCCUGACUCAGUAUAUCCAGGACGCCUAACCUCUGUUCUCAGUACCCCUGACACCUCUCGGGGGAGAUACUCCCCAGCCCAGCACCCUCGAAGGUUGGGGAACUCAACAGGCGUCUUGGCCCCCGACAGCCAAGGGAUCUCCUUCGAGAUCCUGAGCAGGUACUUUACAAUCUCUCAGAGUACCGGCGGCGCCUCCGGAACUAGGAUCUCCAAGCACUCCAACACCUUCUCUCGGGUCCCAGUGGCUCCACCAGCGCCAAACAUCCUGUCCACUCAUGCGCUGGAUCCAGCUACCUGAACCGAGUCGUAGGGCGAAACUACACUUGGUUCCCUGGGGAAGUCGCACCGCCAUGGAUGGUUCCAAAGACGCGUGUGCUCCCGGGGCAGGUUGAAGUGGCUGCUGCCGGCACCCAGUCUGAUAGGAUGCUAAGGGCUCGGACGCUGUAACCUGGGGUGGAAUCACCUCGCCUGCAGCCCUGACUGGUGGCUGGGUAGGGACUAGAAGCGAUCAAGGAGCCCUGUCGAGGCUAUGCGCGCGGACGGCGUUAGGAUGCGGCAAUGCCUGCCGGUGGCCAGCUUUUCUGCAGCGUGCAGCGUAGGCUGUACCACCACAUAGAUCCGCUAGGAGGCGCGGAAGGCCGGUCUUGCCGGUUCCCACGAAGCGGUGUAAUCUUGCCCAGCGUUGCCCCAGCGCGGUAACAAACAGGCUUAUUUCACUGUGACUUAAAGCAGCAAGAGGGAAGAAGCUCGUAAAUAAUAUGCUUGGUUUCUUCCUUUCUUGACUUAGAAGCUCCUAACUCUCAGGCAAAUGGGAGGCUUGGAUAGCAGUGUUUCCCUGUUGAAUUGACAGUGAGGAAGUUACAAAAGCAUUUAACAGAUAUUUCCCUAUCAUCAGGUUAAUUUCAGGGCUUCUUCCCCUCCUGUAGUGGAGUUAGCAGUGGAUUCAUGCUUUGGAAUAUUUUUGCUCCUAUUUCCAUUCAAGAGGAAUGAGAUACUUUCUGUUCCAAUCAGCACUGGGAGAGGUCUUUCUUCACUUAGUUUUAGGGGAAGAUCUCAAGGUCCCCCCAAAAAUCUAUCUUCAUUUUAAAAUGACUCUGCUUGUCUAUGGCCCAAAGCCAUUACUGCCUCUUUGCUAUGCUUCAGUGUUAAAAUCCUAAAAGAUGUCAAAAUAAUAUGAAAUUCUAAGAUGGUUUUUCUGACUCCUAGCUCUUUUUCUAUUCUAAAAUAAUUUUUUAAAAUAAUUUAAAUUGGCUGAGGAAAAAAAUGGCAGAAAGAAAAAAGAAGGUUAAACAGUGGACAUGGCUCUUUAAGUAUAUCGUUAAAUGCAUCUCUUCCUGACAUUCCACUUACCCCUUUUAAAAUUAUGUGGCUAGAAUAGUGUUAGUCACGGAUAGGGGCUAACAGUUAUAGCCCUGUGCCAAGACAUACUAGGGGUGGACCAUUGCUGCUGCUAGAUUCUGGGCUUUACCAUCUACGACCUGUGUGGCCAAGUCACGGAGCCCCUGAGACUCAGUUUCUCUGGGGGCUGACCUCGCGGGGCUGUGAGGACGUAAGACUUCACUCAAGUGAGGAGUGCUCUGCAGACAGUUAAAUAUAUCUGAAGCUGUUUUCUUACAUUGACAAUCCUCACCCCAGAACCAUCCUAUGAAAAUAUGUUCUCAUCCAAUCAACCGCCAUCUUACUUA